UCUUAUCGAAAUAAUACAAAGUUUCAAAGAAACAAAGCAAAACAAAACAAAACAAAAUGAAAAUAAAAUCAAAAUCUAUCCGAAUAAAAAGACGAAUAAACUAUCAUAUCGAUCGAUACUAAUAGUUCGAUCUCCGAUGAUUAUGAUCCUGUCCAAUCAAAUUUAAGUUUGAAAGAUUACAAUGAAAGAGAGAGAGAGAGAGAAAGAGAGAGAAGAUAGGAAGAAAGUAACAUGACAUUAAAUCGAUAGAACUAUCGAAUCUCGUUCGUUCUCUUGAAGAUGAUGCUUCGUGAUUUUCACCGUGAACGCGACGAUUUAGCCAUGACGAGAUGGAGAAAAGGAGGAGAGGAGAGUGGUAGAAGGAAGAGAAAGAGAAAGAGAAAGAGAGAGAAAAAGAGAAGCAGAAUUGCGUAACUAUAACAGAGCUGGGAUCUAUAUUUUAACUCGCGUUUUGUCGUAAGAGCAGCUGCUAGUUGGAGUCUUCCCUUUCAAAAGCUUGCUUUUACGUGUUAGUAUAUAACCGGAGUUACAGAGGCAACGAACGAAGAUGGAGAACAUGGUAUAUUCGGAUGAAAAAACAAAGACGAAGAAAAGGCACCAAGGUGCAAAGAGAAGCCUCCUGGGUGGACGACCAACAUAUUUAUAGUCACGCGCGACUUUACUCUUUCACAUUCAAAUGUAUAUACAAUCUAUGUAUGUAUGAUGUAUAUAUGUAAUAUGUGUGUGUAUAUACGUACGCGCGCGCGUGUGUGUGUGUAUAAUUUGUAUAUUUGUAAAACUCAGACCUGAAUAUAAUAGACGACAAUAUGCUGCUAUAUUCACAAAUUAGUUUCAUCUUCGAGAUAGUUGCAUCAUUGGCUUAUAUACACAGAUGUGGCAACUUGAUUAUAAAAAAGAAAUUCUUUACGCGUAAAUCCUCUCGCACGCAACAAAACACACACACACACGUACAUACAACACAUACCUCACAAAAAUCGUAUAAAUUAUUUUCUUUUAGUUUUAUGAGAGAUAUUAGAAGUGUUAUUCAAUCUGAUAAAGUUUGUAAGUUUAAGGUAAAAUACAUCGUUUUUUAUAUUUACACGUUUUUCUUAUUCUUUUAAUGGUGGUAAUGAUAAUAACAAUGAUAAUAACAACAACAAUAACAAUAACAAAACAAUAAUAAAGUUUGCCUUUUUUUCGUAUGUUAAAUCUGAAAUCUUCGACAAAAAUACUAUGAUUAUCCUUAGACAAGAUAAAUUCUUCAGUUUUAUUAACCAUAGUAUAUGCUAUCGCUUAUCAUGAAUAUUUACCUUGCGGUGAUAAAUCCAUCCGUAAAUAACGUUAUGCUGAAUGUAAUAAAAUAAUUCUACGUAAAUAUAAGAUUUAUGAAAAUAAAAAGAAUGCAUUGUUAAUAAUUAUUUUAUUAAUAUUUAAUAUUUUGAUUGUUGCUUAAAUGUAUCCACGUGUAUAUAGAUAACCAAAGAGAAUAACGUAAAAUUAGGAAAAAUAAUUAUUUACCGAACACAGCUUAAUGAUAAUUAACCAAAUAAUUAGAAAUUUGUAAGAACAAGGAAAUAUUUUUAUAAGACAUUAAUUAAUUUAAAAAUGAAAAUUGAAAUAAAAACUAUAUCGAAGAUAAAAAAAAAUAAAAUAUUUUAUAAAAAUGAAGGAAAUUUAACUCUACCAGAAAGAUGAACUUUACUUUAUAUUCGAAAAUAGAGAAUAAGGAUGUCUACCUAUCGACACUCUUAGUUCUUUUGCAUAUCCAAAGACUGUGUCUAGUGCUGUCCUCUACGAUCUAGUUUUAUAGUUGGUAGUCUGCUUCAUUAGAAAGGUAGAUACUCUAUCUGAUAUCGAAAGGAAGCAACAAAGUAACAGAUCCUAUAGUGUAAAUAGCGACUAUCGAUAAUACGAAUCGUUACGUUACAAUAUGGAGUAAAUAUUUACAUAUGUGUGUACGUACGUGACUAUAUAAAGUAUGUAAUAUAUAAUAUAUCUAUGUUUAUAUAAUUCUUUUUAUUUUUUAUUUUUUUUACUACACACACACACAAAAUUAUUGUUGUUUAAUGGCUAUAAUGGUAUUGUCUUUACUUUAUUGCUUUUUGCAACAGUUAAAUAAUUAUAUAGCUAACAAUGAUGUUGAGAAGGUCACAAAACGUAAAAAUAGGUUAACUGUAAUAAUUUUAUGAUUAGUUAAAAACGCUUAAAGUUACCGGAAGAAUGAGUACUUCGAGGGAAGAGAGAGUAGCAUAUUAGUGUAAUGUGUAUCCGUGUGCUCCGGUUACCUGUAGCAGAAUAUAACUUCGUCUUUCUAAUAAAUUUGUGUCGAUUUAAACGUG